rnacentral:rRNA from 1 species
AAGUCCCAAGUUCCAAGUUUUGAGUUUAUCUUAAACACUUGUUACGAUGGCACCUGAUACUUAUUACAUUCUAGUGGCGGACGGUGAGUAACACGUUGGAACCUGCCCCAAAGUGAGGAAUAAGCCACCGAAAGGUGGUCUAAUACUUCAUAAUAUCCAUCUCGUAUGGAUUAAAGCUUUAUGCGCUUUGGGAGGGGCCUGCGUAACAUUAGCUUGUUGGUGAGGUAAAAGCUCACCAAGGCUUCGAUGUUUAACUGGUUUGAGAGGAUGACCAGUCACACUGGGACUGAGAUACGGCCCAGACUCCUACGGGAGGCAGCAGUAAGGAAUCUUCCACAAUGGGGCAACCCUGAUGGAGCAAUACCGCGUGCAGGAUGAAGCGUUUCGGCGUGUAAACUGCUUUUAUCACCGAAGAUUAUGACUGUAGGUGAAGAAUAAGGACCGGCUAACUACGUG